CGCCACCCAGUAUAGUAAAUAAUUACUAAAUCAACUUCUUCUUCUACAAUCACUGAAAGCCCUAAACAGAUAUCAAAUACGAAUAAAAACCAAACCAACACAACACCCAAAGUUCCGACGAAGAUAUACCUUUCAAAUUUUGAAAACCCAUUUUCCAUAUGACAUUGUUUGUUAAAAAUUACAAACAAUAUCCAUAUAUCUAAAUUUCAUCUCACAAUCAGUAUAUAUCUCGUUAGAAUAAUUUGUAUCCGCUAUUGUGAAAUUAUACGUUGCAUUGUUUGCUUCACAAUGAAAACUACCGCUACUUCGCCGGCAUGGCUCGGAUAGCUACAAAUUCCAGCGCCAUCGGCUUCCCAGAGUCGGCCCCUAUUAUCUCCAUCCACCAUCAAUCUCCUCUUUUCUUGAAUUUCUCUCUCUCCGAUCGCAGAAUAAGACUUGCAGGCCUCACAGAAUUUCCUGCCAAAGCAACCCCAAGUCAAUUGACUCCAGAACAACAGAGGUAUGCGAGUUAAUUCCCUCCACUUGAUUAUCACUUUCUUCAAUUAAAUAUUGUAAUUUUUUGUCAAAAGUGUAAUUAAGUUUUUUUCUUUUGUAUCAAUUUGAGUGUUCAACCCGUUACCAUGGUGAGUGGUGGUUGUUUUUGAUAUAUUGGGUUGGUUGUUUCUAUGCCCAAUAUGUGCGGUGAGUGGUGGUGGCUGUGGAAGGCGACGGCGGCAGCAAAUGGUGUGAUCGUGGUCAGUGAUCGAUAAUGGCUGUCGUCAGUAGCGGACGCAAAUAUUUGGUGUUAAUGGGGCACGAUCAAACUCAUUAAAAAAUUAUUUAUACUACAUGAACACAUACAAUUGAUCAUUGUCAUAAAUUCACAAAUCUCAUAUAUAUGUAAAAUAACAAUUCUCAAAGAAUUCCAAAUAAUCUCACAUAUAUGAUAAAUAAUAAUUUUCAAAUUAAAUAUUGCAAAUAACAAAAUAAUCUCAACUCUUACUCUCUCAAUUGUUCGGUUAUCUCUGUAAAUAUAUUCUAAUAAAAAAGCCCCACUAUCGUUACUGUCCAAAUCUGAUUUUUGGCUCUAAAACCCUCCAAACAAAAUAAUAAAUAAAACCCUGAAA
rnacentral:lncRNA from 1 species